rnacentral:rRNA from 1 species
AAUCUUCCGCAAUGGACGCAAGUCUGACGGAGCAACGCCGCGUGUGUGAAGAAGGUCUUCGGAUCGUAAAGCACUGUUGUUAGAGAAGAACGACCGGUAGAGUAACUGUUACCGGAGUGACGGUAUCUAACCAGAAAGCCACGGCUAACUACGUGCCAGCAGCCGCGGUAAUACGUAGGUGGCAAGCGUUGUCCGGAUUUAUUGGGCGUAAAGGGAGCGCAGGCGGUGACUUAAGUCUGAUGUGAAAGCCCACGGCUCAACCGUGGAGGGUCAUUGGAAACUGGGUCACUUGAGUACAGAAGAGGAAAGCGGAAUUCCAUGUGUAGCGGUGAAAUGCGUAGAUAUAUGGAGGAACACCAGUGGCGAAAGCGGCUUUCUGGUCUGAGACUGACGCUGAGGCUCGAAAGCGUGGGGAGCAA